CCAUGACUCUGAGCAUGUCUCCGGCUGCGGUGUGCCAGUGCUUUACACUGGUGUCACUGUGCACAUCCAUCGCCGACCCAAACUGGAUCCAAGUCAUGAACAACACUGACCCUGGAGGCAAACAGCUCAUCUAUGGUGUGGCUUUCAUACUGCAUGCUCCCCAGAACCUCACUGACACAGGUCCCCUGGGUGGUGUAAAUGGCUGGGGGGUGUGGCUGCUUUAUGCCCUGGCAGCUCUGUGCUACAGUGCUGUCCUGCUCUCCAGCUCCUCCUUCCUAUUGGACUUCCUGGGGACUGGGAUGUCCCACCCUCGACUGGUGGUGUUACUCCACAUCUCCACAGUGGUUCUCCUCCUGUCUGUUCUGGGAGUGUGUGGGGCCUGCCUGUACAUCAUUCACUGCAACCUUCAGGAGGGCAAGCUUGGGCCACUGUGGGAAUGGGUGGGGGGCUGGACCUGGCCUGGGUCUGGCUCCAGGAGCCAGGGAGGGGUGGCGGGGAUGAAGCCUUACCCAGGGGAGAGCUUCUACAUCACCAUGCUGGGCCUGCUCUUCUCCUGCCUGGCCGGUGUGAUCAGCCUGAGCAGCCUAGGGGACACCACCUCCACCCAGAGGGACUACAUAGCUGUGGUGGAGUGGGACGACAGUGACACAGAGCCCCUUACCCCCAGGGAGCAGGGAGUGGGACAGUCUGACGAAGAGGAGGGGGUAGGAGACGUGUUGCCUGAAAUUACUCAGGGGGAGGUGGGUGGAAGUGGAGACUCCUAAAGGGGUUUCUCGGACCACUACAGAGGUAGAGGUUUGAAUGUGUGGCCCAAAAUGGCUUAGUUUCGGGCUAGAAUAAAAACCAGGACCACACCACACAUGGCCUGUAACAGACUUAAUUAGACAGCAGUGCUGGCGCCUUCCCUGGUCAUGUUUUGAAUCCCUAUUGCUUCACUGGACCAAGCUGGUGGAAUCCAGUCAGGAGCCAAAAAAGAGACCAGAUACAUUUCCUAAUGUUGUUUUAAUGUUUGUCUGCCUAAAACAUGCCUUCUCGGGGUAUGUACAGUUGCACAACAUCAAGUCAAUAACCCAUUUACCCAUUUUUCAUUGUGGGAGUUUAUGCCCAGCGUCUCACACUUGACCUGACCAAGAUAAAUCGUUCUUUGGCUAGCUGUGAUAUUUGGAAAAGUGUGACAAGAAUGUAACACGGUUAAGCUAUUUCUGUCUGUGUGUGACCAGGGAAAGUGAGAGUCUGUAUGUUAUAAUCGAUGUGUGAUGCAAAUUAUAUGCCCUUCCUGCUCAUCAAUGGGAACAAGCUUUGACCCUGUUCACAUUACUGCAAAAUAACCACUGGGGAAUGUUCCGGAUCAGCGAAUGGUUUGUAACAGUUCAGAACCAGAAAAUAUGUUCAAUGAGCAGAAGUUCAGACUGCUUAACAUUGCGAUCGUAACACAGUACAAUCACCUAUUCUCCUCUUCUAGUUAACAUAAAAAUCACUAGAGGAAGGUUUUUCUGAUUCUCUUCUUUUAACAGGUUGUUUUUUAACGUAUGCAUUAUUUUAACUUCUUAAAACCCUUUGCACAGUCGUCCAUAGUGACACUUUAAGUUUCCCAAAUGGUGGAAACAAAUCACAGAUUUCUAUGGAAGAUUUACCUGAAGUAUACUGAAACUGGAGUUUCCUCUGAGAAAUUCCAUUUAAAAAGCCCAUUUGGCUUCUAUUAUGGCCACUAUAGCUUUAAUCACAAAUUGAGGAACUAUUUAUUAGCAUGGUUGUUUACUACUAUAGGAAAGAUUGAGUGGGGAUAUGAAGUCUUUCCUUUCCACAGUAGGUAGUGUAAAUACAUGGCUCUUGCCUUUAAAUGACUUGCUAUCUAAUCAUAUUUGAAUAUGAUGUAUUAAAUAUUUGAUGUGCUUAAAUAUUUAUUGUUUCAUAAAAUGGCACUGCUAUUGGUCACUAGAUACCUCAGAUCACUGUGAAAAUAUAUCCCGGUUUGGCAUCUUUAGGCGUCUACAUUACAGCACAAACCACUGUAUGUAUGCUUAACCUACUUGAAGGUAACCAAUAAGACAAGCUCCUUGAUGGUGCUUGGUUGCAUGUGACGGUAGGACCAUGGAUAUUGACUUGAUAAAUUAAGAUGGCUGCCUAGAAUCAGGUUUUCCUUACCCGCUUAUACCCUCAAGGCCUGUUUCCUGGACACAGAUUAAUCUUAGUCCUGGACUAGGAAACAUUUUCGAUGGAGAUUGUUUUUAGUUCAAGACUAGGCUUAAUAUGUGUCUAGGAAACUGUCCCUCAAUCUUUUCCUCAGGUACAUAGGAAGACGUUCCUUCUCUUAUUCCAGGGUCACAGUCCCAUCUCUAUGAAUCCGACUUUUCAUUGUUGUUGUUUAUGAUGCUAUUUAUUCAUUAAACUAUUUUUGCGUAUUUGUAAAACAUGUGUACAUGCAUUUUCUUUCUGUUCCAGAACAGAAGUGUCCAGUCCAGUUACUCUCAUUCCCACUCAUCUGCUGCAUGUGUUGGUGUCUGUCAUCUCUGCUUCUAUAGGUUCAUUUCCAACCUACAUCAUCAGGAAAUGGUCUUCAUCCAAGACCGCACAUGACCAGGUAUUAACUUAGAAUGUACAUGGUAAUUAUCCAGUAAUAACCUACAGUAUGAAUUACUUGUUUUCUUUGGGAUUCAUUUAAACAAGCCCCCACAACAUUCACCAUUUGGUACUAGGUUAUGAAAAUGUGUUUUAAUUGUUAUAAGUACCUAACGCCAUACUAUUUCUCUAGUAAAUGCCAGUCUAAACAGUAUCAAAAAUGAAUUGCUACCAAAAUUCAGCCUGUGGCAACAUCUUAUUAUCAAAUGAGGCAUCUACUGUAGUAGAGGGCUAGGGAUUUUCUUUUAACCACAAACAAUGAGAUCGUCCCCCGAUGAUGUUUGUUGUAAUGGAAUGUGUAUACAGUAUCUUCAUAGUGUAUAUCUGACUACUCUAUGCAGGGUUCCAUCCUAUCAAAGAAAAGUUGUCUGGACCAAUGUCAAUAUUUUCCAUAGUUACUGGCUUGUGUUUGUGUGGGGAUGUUCUUAUUUAUCAUGGGAGUGUCUAACACCCCUGGACAUGAUUGACAUCUGAAUCCUGUCUGUUGUUGACAGUAGGUAUCCUGGGGUAUAUGUAAGACUCAUUAUAGGGACUGCUAACCUUCUCUUCAUUGACAAUCAGAUGGAUCCAAAUAUACCUCUCCCUUUCAGAACUGUCCCACAUCUUUCCUGAAGUCUUUCUGAAUGCAUAGGCAGGAUUUAGGGUUAGCCAGGCAGGACUCGCUGUGAAUAUGAUGUCCCCUCAGUCAGCAAGCAAUGACUUCAGCAGACAAACCACUACUGGGUAAAUAUAAAUAAUCUAAAGAUAUGGUUGAAUAUAGCCUAUAUCUAUCCUAUUAGUAGAUUGGCACAAGGUUGGUUUACACCUGGGUUGCACUGUUCCAAUCAAAAGCCCCUCUCUUUUCCUCUCCCCAACGGCUCCCUCUACUGUCACAUGACUCCACUCCCUUCUCUCAUUGGACGGAAACCAUUACCAUAGUGACCUUGAUAAAUUGUUGAUGUCGCCAGUGAAUUUGUGAAUGAGAGAUAAGAAAGGAGAGAAGUGGGAGAGAGUCAAAGAGCCUAUUUUAGUGGUGGUGUUGCGCUGCUGGGUAUGUGAGUUGAAUUUGUUAGUUUACAUACACUUAGGUUUGAGUCAUUAAAGCUUGUUUUUAAACCACUCCACAAAUGUCUUGUUAACUAACUAUAGUUUUAGCAAGUUGGUUAGGACAUCUGCUUUGUGCAUGACACAAGUAAUUUUCCCAACAAUUGUUUACAGACAGAUUAUUUCACUUAUAAUUCACUGUAUCACAAUUUCAGUGGGUCAGAAGUUUAUAUACACUAAGUUGACUGUGCCUUUAAACAGCUUGGAAAAUUCCAGAAAAUUAUGUAAUGGCUUUAGAAGCUUCUGAUAGGCUUAUUGACAUCAUUUGAGUCAAUUGGAGGUGUAACUGUAGAUGUAUUUCAAGGCCAACCUUCAAACUCAGUGCCUCUUUGCUUGACAUCAUGGAAAAUCCAAAGAAAUCAGCCAAGACCUCAGAAAAAAAAUUGGAGACCUCCACAAGUCUGAUUCAUCCUUGGGAGCAAUUUCCGAAUGCCUGAAGGUACCACAUUCAUCUGUACAAACAGUAGUACGCAACUAUAAACACCAUGGGAACACGCAGCCGUCAUAACACUCAGGAAAAAGACGCAUUCUGUCUCCUAGAGAUGAACGUACUUUGGUGCGAAAAGUGCAAAUCAAUCCCAGAACAACAGCAAAGGACCUUGUGAAGAUGCUGGAGGAAACAGUUGCAAAAGUAUCUAUAUCCCCAGUAAAACAAGUCCUAUAUCGACAUAACCUGAAAGGCCGCUCAGCAUGGAAGAAGCCACUGCUCCAAAACCCCAAUAAAAAAAGUCUGACUAUUGUUUGCAACUGCACAUGGGGACAAAUAUUGCACUUUCUGGUGAAAUGUCCUCUGGUCUGAUGAAACAAAAGGCUUGCAAGCCGAAGAACACCAUCCCAACCGUGAAGAACGGGGGUGGCAGCAUCAUGUUAUGGGGGUGCUUUGCUGUAGGAGGGACUGGUGCACUUCACAAAAUAGAUAGCAUCAUGAGGUAGGAAAAUUCUUUGGAUGUAUUGAAGCAACAUCUCAAGACAUCAGUCAGGAAGUUAAAGCUUGGUCGCAAAUGGGUCUUACAAAUGGACAAUGACCCCAAGCAUACUUCCAAAGUUGUGGCAAAAUGGCUUAAAGACAACAAAGUCAAGGUAUUAGAGUGGCCAUCACAAAGCCCUGACCUCAAUCCUAUAGACAAUAUGUGGGCAGAACUGAAAAAGCUGCCCCUCAACUUUCACACCUCUAAAGUUGAGGGGCAGUGUCUUUAAACAAUGGAAAGCCCAUCCCACGCACUACCUCUGCAGGGUAAUACCGGUCUUAAGAGUUUUGUCUCAGAGAGGAUAAGAGAGGGCCCUCUCCUGGAACAUUGUGUUGCUAAGGGUAACCAGAAUCACAUGACCGGGUCAGCCAAUCAGUGGCCUAGUCUGGGGUUGGAGACCCCAGUCUGUCCCUCAACUCUUUAGUUGUUUCCAGGAGGGCAGGUUGAGACAACCUCUGUAAACUCCUGUUCUCCACAUCAACUCACAUGUGGAGUUGGGUAUGUAAACAUAUAUGAUAUUUACAUACCCUACAUUACUCAUCUCAUAUGUAUAUACUGUACUCUAUACCAUCUACUGCAUCUUGCCUAUGCCGUUUGGCCAUCACUCAUCCAUAAUAUGUACAUAUUCUUAUUCAUUCAUUUGUUGUUGUGAAAUUGUUAGAUUACUUGUUAGAUAUUACUGCAUGGUCGGAACUAGAAGCACAAGCAUUUCACUACACUCGCAUUAACAUCUACUAACCAUGUGUAUGUGACCAAUAAAAUUUUAUUUGACAUCUGGAAAUGUUCAUAUAGACAAUCCAGCCUCUGGACUUCCUGACCGGUGUUUAGUGCAUCUUUGACCACACAACCACUAUCACUUACACUUCUAUUAAUCCCCUCUUCCUGUGUGCUGUGUGUGUGUCUGUUUGGUGUGUGGUAAUAAAGUGUGUAUUGUAUCCCUGUCUCCUACUGGUCACUUACGUCUUCACUGGGGUGCUAGGACAAUUCUACCUAUAUCUAAACUGGCACCUCUAUCUGAG
rnacentral:lncRNA from 13 species